GCUUGUGACCCUUCCGUCACUACCCCAAUUCCCCCUCUCUGCCCACUCAACCCCACCUAGCCCAUCGUCCUCACUCCCCACCACACUCACCCCAACCAGUACCCCACACCCCACAAACAAGAGGGUGUGAGCUUGCAGGGAACAAAAGCAGGAUGUCCCCUUUAUCUGAGACACCUCCAGAUGAGGGCUCUCUGGGACCCAUAAGUGUCUCUGUGAACAAUAAGCUCCCCACGAGGUGGGCUUCCCCUGGGAUUACAGGCAGUGUCUAGAGACACUAGAGUGGUAUCAGAGCUCAACACUGAAGUGGUGCUCCUGGGGACACGGGCAUUGACUCUGAGCACCUCUGUGAGAUAGGCGCGCCCAGGGACUGUCUCCACAAGCUUUGACACCCCACUGAGGUGGGAGCUCCCUGGAAACAGUGUCUCUGCAGUCUCAGAGCUUGACACUGAAGUGGAGCUCCCUGGCACACCAGCGGUGUGUUUGCAAACUGUGGGCUGCCCACUGUGUCCUCUGGGACACAGACAGUGUUUCCACAGACUCCGAACUCCCCCACUGAAUUGGGAGCACCCUAUGACUGGAGCAGUGUCUCUAGGGACUUGGAGCUCCCCACUGAGUUAGGAGUUCCCUGCAGCACAGACAUGGUCCCCACCAACUCUCAGCUCCCCAGUGCAGUGGGAGCUCCCUGGAACACAGCAGUUUCUCCCUGGUACACAGGCGGUGUUUCCAUGGAUUCUGAGCUCUUUACUGAGGUGGGAGCUCCCUGAGACAAGCAUAGUGUCUCACAGACUCUGUGCUCCCCAUGAGACAGGAGCUCCCUGGGUAGCGGGCAGGGUCUCCAGGGUCUAUGAACCGCCCGCUGAGGUGGGAGCCUCCUGGGAUGCAAGGAGUGCCUUUAAGGACUCUGAGCUUCCAUGGUGUGGUGCUCCCUGGGACACGGCAGUGUCUUCACGACUCUGACUUCCCACUGAAGUCACACUCUCUGGGACACAGCAGUGUCUGUAAGGACUCUGAACUCCACUGAGGGGGGAGCCCCCUGGGCUGUCUUUCCAGUGAGUCUGCGCUGAGGUGGGAGCUCACUGGGAAACCAGUAGUGUCUCUGUGGACUCUGACCUUUAUUUGAGGUAAAAGCUCCCUGAGACACUGGCAGUGUCUCCACAGACUCUGAGCCUCCCCCUGGUGGGAGCCCCUGGGAACACAGAGGGCGUCUCCACAGACUCUGAGCUCUCACUGAAAUGAAGCUCCCUGGGACUCCAGCAGGACCUCCACAGACUCUUACCUCCCCACUGAAAUGGGAGAUUUUGGGACAUGGGCAGGGUCUCCAUGGACUCAGAGUUCCCCUAUUGAAGGGGGAGUUCGGUGGCACAUGGGCAUUGUCUCUAAUGACUCUGAGCUCCUGGCUGAGGGGAUUGCUCCCUGGGACAUUGCCAGGGUCUCCACAGACUCUGAGCUCCCCAUGAGGUGGGAGCUCCAUAGGAUUUGGGCAGGGUCUCCAUGAACUAUAAACUCUCCACUGAGGUGGGAGCUCCCUGGGACACAGAGAGUUUUUUUCAGACUCUGAACUCCCAUGAAAUGGAGCUCUUUGGAGCAUGGACAGUGUCUUUAAGGACUCUGAGCUACCCACCGAGGUGGGAGCUCAGUGGGACAUGUGAAGCAGUGUCUCCACGGACUCUGGGCUGCCCACUCAGAUGGGCUGUGUCUUGGACACAGGCAGUGUCUCUAUCAACUUUGGGCUCUGCUCUGAGGUAAGAGCCCCGUGGGACAGGGGCACUAUCUCCUUGGACUUUGAACUCCCACCAAAGUGGAGCUCACUGGGACAGUGGCAACGUCUCCACGGAUUCUGAGCUCCCGCUGAAGUGGAGCUCCCUGGGAAUCAGUCAGUGUCCAAGAACUCUGAGCUUCCCUGAGGUGGGAGCCCUCUGGAACACAAGGAGUGUCCACGCAGACUCUGAGCUUCCAUGAAGUAGGGCUGUCUGGGACACUGGCGGUGUCUCUAUGGUCUCUGAGCUCCUCACGGAGCUGGGAGCUCCCUCGGAUAUGGGCGGUGUCUCCACAAACUCUCCAUUCCCCUAUGAGGUGGAAGCUCUCUGCGACAUGACCAUUGUCUCUGUGGAAUCUGAGCUUCCCACUAGUGGGAGCCCCUUGGGACACAGGGCAAGGUCUCCACAGACUCUAAGCUCCCACUGAAGUGGAGCUCUCUGGAAUAACAGCAGGAUCUCCACAGACUCUUACCACCUCCAGUGAAGUGGGAACUUUUGGGACACAGGCAGUGUCUCCAUGGACUCUGAGCUCCCUGCUGAGGUGGGAGUUCAUGUGGCACCAGUUGUGUCUCCACAGAUGCUGAGCUCCCUAGGACAUGGGCUCUCCCUGGGUGGAGAGCAAUGUCUCCACGGAACCUGUGCUCCCUACUGAGGUGGGAGCUUCCUGGGACAGGGGCAGGGUCUCCAGUAACUCUGAGCUCCCACUGAAGUGGAGCUCCCUAGGAUUCUGCAGUUUCUCCACAAACUCUUACCUCCUCACUCAGUGGGAGGUUUUGGGACCCGGGUAGUGUCUCCACAUACUCUGAGCUACCCACUGAGGUGGGAUCCCCCUGGGUCGAGGGCAAUGUCUCCACAGGGACUGAGCUCCCUACCAAGAUGAGGUCUGGCACAAGAACAGUGACUUCAUGGUGGAGUCAUAGCUCCCACUGAAGUGGAGCUCCCUGACCCACUGAACAGCUGAAUGGGGAGCUUGCUGGCACACAGAAACUGUUCACACUGUCUGACCUUCCCCCACGUUUGUUCGUUCAAUACUGGAAGGAAGCGCAAGUCUGUUUGUUCUCCUGCCUCUGUGUGUGUACAGGGGGACAUCCUGGGAGCUUAUUUGUCUAAAGGAUGCCUGUGUCCUCUAGUUGCUGAGAGGCAGUGAGGACAAGCAGCUGCAUGAACUGCACUUGGAGAGAAACCCUGCUGUAUACAAUUUCACACGCCAGGGAGCAGGACUCAACAUGACUGUGCACAGUGCCUUGGACAGUGAUGAGCAGAGCCACCAGGCAGUGACCGAGGCCAUGAGGGUCAUCGGCUUCAGUCCUAAAGAGGUGGAGUCUGUGCAUCGCAUCCUGGCUGCCAUAUUGCACCUGGGAAACAUCGAGUUUGUGGAGACGGAGGAGGGUGGGCUGCAGAAGGAGGGCCUGGCAGUGGCCGAGGAGGCACUGGUGGACCAUGUGGCUGAGCUGACGGCCACACCCCGGGACCUCGUGCUCCGCUCCCUGCUGGCUCGCACAGUUGCCUCGGGAGGCAGGGAACUCAUAGAGAAGGGCCACACUGCAGCUGAGGCCAGCUAUGCCCGGGAUGCCUGUGCCAAGGCAGUGUACCAGCGGCUGUUUGAGUGGGUGGUGAACAGGAUCAACAGUGUCAUGGAACCCCGCGGCCGGGAUCCUCGGCGUGAUGGCAAGGACACAGUCAUUGGCGUGCUGGACAUCUAUGGCUUCGAGGUGUUUCCCGUCAACAGUUUCGAGCAGUUCUGCAUCAACUACUGCAACGAGAAGCUGCAGCAGCUAUUCAUCCAGCUCAUCCUGAAGCAGGAACAGGAAGAGUACGAGCGCGAGGGCAUCACCUGGCAGAGCGUUGAGUAUUUCAACAACGCCACCAUUGUGGAUCUGGUGGAGCGGCCCCACCGUGGCAUCCUGGCCAUGCUGGACGAGGCCUGCAGCUCUGCUGGCACCAUCACUGACCGAAUCUUCCUGCAGACCCUGGACACGCACCACCGCCAUCACCUACACUACACCAGCCGCCAGCUCUGCCCCACAGACAAGACCAUGGAGUUUGGCCGAGACUUCCGGAUCAAGCACUAUGCAGGGGACGUCACGUACUCCGUGGAAGGCUUCAUCGACAAGAACAGAGAUUUCCUCUUCCAGGACUUCAAGCGGCUGCUGUACAACAGCACGGACCCCACUCUACGGGCCAUGUGGCCGGACGGGCAGCAGGACAUCACAGAGGUGACCAAGCGCCCCCUGACGGCUGGCACACUCUUCAAGAACUCCAUGGUGGCCCUGGUGGAGAACCUUGCCUCCAAGGAGCCCUUCUACGUCCGCUGCAUCAAGCCCAAUGAGGACAAGGUAGCUGGGAAGCUGGAUGAGAACCACUGUCGCCACCAGGUCGCAUACCUGGGGCUGCUGGAGAACGUGAGGGUCCGCAGGGCUGGCUUCGCUUCCCGCCAGCCCUACUCUCGAUUCCUGCUCAGGUACAAGAUGACCUGUGAAUACACAUGGCCCAACCACCUGCUGGGCUCCGACAAGGCAGCCGUGAGCGCUCUCCUGGAGCAGCACGGGCUGCAGGGGGAUGUGGCCUUUGGCCACAGCAAGCUGUUCAUCCGCUCGCCCCGGACACUGGUCACACUGGAGCAGAGCCGAGCCCGCCUCAUCCCCAUCAUUGUGCUGCUAUUGCAGAAGGCAUGGCGGGGCACCUUGGCGAGGUGGCGCUGCCGGAGGCUGAGGGCUAUCUACACCAUCAUGCGCUGGUUCCGGAGACACAAGGUGCGGGCUCACCUGGCUGAGCUGCAGCGGCGAUUCCAGGCUGCAAGGCAGCCGCCACUCUACGGGCGUGACCUUGUGUGGCCGCUGCCCCCUGCUGUGCUGCAACCCUUCCAGGACACCUGCCACGCACUCUUCUGCAGGUGGCGGGCCCGGCAGCUGGUGAAGAACAUCCCCCCUUCAGACAUGCCCCAGAUCAAGGCCAAGGUGGCUGCCAUGGGGGCCCUGCAAGGGCUUCGUCAGGACUGGGGCUGCCGACGGGCCUGGGCCCGAGACUACCUGUCCUCUGCCACUGACAAUCCCACAGCAUCAAGCCUGUUUGCUCAGCGACUAAAGACACUUCGGGACAAAGAUGGCUUCCGGGCUGUGCUCUUUUCAAGCCAUGUCCGCAAGGUGAACCGCUUCCACAAGAUCCGGAACCGGGCCCUCCUGCUCACAGACCAGCACCUCUACAAGCUGGACCCUGACCGGCAGUACCGGGUGAUGCGGGCCGUGCCCCUUGAGGCGGUGACGGGGCUGAGCGUGACCAGCGGAGGAGACCAGCUGGUGGUGCUGCACGCCCGCGGCCAGGACGACCUCGUGGUGUGCCUGCACCGCUCCCGGCCGCCAUUGGACAACCGCGUUGGGGAGCUGGUGGGCGUUUUGGCCGCACACUGCCAGGGGUGAGUGCAGGCUGGGGGGUGGCGGGCACGAAGCCCCGGCCGCGUGGCCGCCCUGACCCCUCCUCCUGCCGCAGGGAGGGCCGCACCCUGGAGGUUCGCGUCUCCGACUGCAUCCCACUAAGCCAUCGCGGGGUCCGGCGCCUCAUCUCCGUGGAGCCCAGGCCGGAGCAGCCAGAGCCCGAUUUCCGCUGCGCUCGCGGCUCCUUCACCCUGCUCUGGCCCAGCCGCUGAGCGCCCGCACCCGCCGCACCCCGAGGCCGCCAAUUGUCCGCCCCGCCAGCGCUGCAAAUAAACCUUCUGAGUC
rnacentral:sRNA from 1 species